UGCCGCUGCAUCAAAUUUGGAGCCUGUCACACCAUGGCUGGUACUGGCGCAAAAGGCAGCCAAAAGAACACUGGCUCACGGGCCCUGGGCCCCUCCUGGGCCUCAGGAUACAUCUGGUCACAGACAACA